GGACCCGCACAAGUAGUGGAGCAUGUGGUUUAAUUCGAAGAUACGCGCAGAACCUUACCAACACUUGACAUGUUCGUCGCGACUUUAAGAGAUUAAAGUUUUCGGUUCGGCCGGACGAAACACAGGUGCUGCAUGGCUGUCGUCAGCUCGUGUCGUGAGAUGUUGGGUUAAGUCCCGCAACGAGCGCAACCCUCACUUUUAGUUGCCAUCAUUUAGUUGGGCACUCUGAAAGAACUGCCAGUGAUAAGCUGGAGGAAGGUGGGGAUGACGUCAAGUCCUCAUGGCCCUUACGUGUUGGGCUACACACGUGCUACAAUGGUACUUACAACAGGAAGCAAGACUGCGAAGUUAAGCAAAUCCUUAAAAGAUACCUCAGUUCGGAUUGCACUCUGCAACUCGAGUGCAUGAAGCUGGAAUUACUAGUAAUCG
rnacentral:rRNA from 1 species